UGUUAAAAAAAUUAUUUAUUUAUAUUGUUAAAAAUUAGUGUGAUUGACAGAAUAACUAAAUAGUGACACGUGGCAUACGAUAUGUAUCUCAUGCUGACAUACAAGGACCAAUUGUUAAUAGUAAAAAUGGAUGAAAUUUUUAAUA
rfam:Gossypium hirsutum cultivar TM-1 chromosome 24, whole genome shotgun sequence